GACUAACGCUGGCGGCGUGCCUAAUACAUGCAAGUCGAACGGGAUUCUUUGAUCAGCUUGCUGAGAGAAGGAUCUAGUGGCGGACGGGUGAGUAACGCGUGGGAAUCUGCCUCUUACUGGGGGAUAACAGUGGGAAACUACUGCUAAUACCGCAUAAGAUCUUCGGAUGAAAGGUGCAACUGCACCGGUAAGAGAUGAGCCCGCGUCCCAUUAGCUAGUUGGUGAGGUAAAGGCUCACCAAGGCGACGAUGGGUAGCCGGCCUGAGAGGGGUGAACGGCCACACUGGGACUGAGACACGGCCCAGACUCCUACGGGAGGCAGCAGUAGGGAAUCUUCCGCAAUGGGCGCAAGCCUGACGGAGCGACGCCGCGUGAGUGAUGAAGGCCUUCGGGUCGUAAGACUCUGUUCUUGUAGGACGAAUAAGCCAGGAGUGGAAGCCGUGGUGAUGACUGUACUCAAGGAGAAAGCGUCCGGCUAACUACGUGACCG
rnacentral:rRNA from 1 species